rnacentral:rRNA from 1 species
GACGAACGCUGGCGGCGUGCUUAACACAUGCAAGUCGAACGACGUGUCGAACGGGUGAGUAAUACGUGGGUAACCUGCCCUCAUUUCUGGGAUAAGCCUUGGAAACGGGGACUAAUACCGACUAAAGGGGGAUGGGCUCGCGGCCUAUCUGCUUGGUGGUGGGGGUAUGGCCUACCAAGGCGGUGACGGGUAGCCGGCCUGAGAAGGUGGACGGCAACGUUGGGACUGUGAUACGGCCCAGACGCCUACGGGAGGCAGAAGUGGGGGAUAUUGCACAAUGGGCGAAAGACUGAUGCAGCGACGCCGCGUGGGGGAUGAAGGCUUUCGGGUUGUAAACCUCGUUCGCUAGCGAACGGGUAGGUGGAGAAGAAGCGCCGGCUAACUACGUGCCAGCCGCCGCGGUAAUUC